UACGGAGGUCUCAAGCGUUGUUCGGAUUCAUUGGGCGUAAAGGGCGCGUAGGCGGCGGGGUAAGUCGGGUGUGAAAUCUCAGAGCUCAACUCUGAAAUGGCACUUGAUACUGCUCUGCUAGAGGACUGGAGAGGAGAUUGGAAUUCACGGUGUAGCAGUGAAAUGCGUAGAUAUCGUGAGGAAGACCGGUGGCGAAGGCGGAUCUCUGGACAGUUCCUGACGCUGAGGCGCGAAGGCUAGGGGAGCAAACGGG
rnacentral:rRNA from 1 species